GUAGUAAAAGCCGAAUUUAUGGCAUCGGUCUUGUAAGCCGAAGGGGGGAGGUGUCAUCCCCUCUUACCGCA
rnacentral:tRNA from 1 species